GGCAUAUUUAUGUAAUAUUUUUACAUAAUUAAGUAAUUUUACUGAUUGCAAUUUAGGGUACCGUCCUGACAACCUAGGCCGAAAGUCCAGAGAAUUUCAUUUGCUAGCACUAUAUUUAACCCUGUAACUUUCCAAGACACCAUAAAACCUGUAUAUGGGGGGGUACUGUUUUACUCAAAAGACUUUGCUGAACACAAAUAUUACUGUUUCAAAACAGUAAAACAUAUCACAG